GAUGAACGCUGGCGGCGUGCCUAAUACAUGCAAGUCGAGCGAACGGACGAGAAGCUUGCUUCUCUGAUGUUAGCGGCGGACGGGUGAGUAACACGUGGAUAACCUACCUAUAAGACUGGGAUAACUUCGGGGAACCGGAGCUAAUACCGGAUAAUAUUUUGAACCGCAUGGUUCAAAAGUGAAAGACGGUCUUGCUGUCACUUAUAGAUGGAUCCGCGCUGCAUUAGCUAGUUGGUAAGGUGACGGCUUACCAAGGCAACGAUGCAUAGCCGACCUGAGAGGGUGAUCGGCCACACUGGAACUGAGACACGGUCCAGACUCCUACGGGAGGCAGCAGUAGGGAAUCUUCCGCAAUGGGCGAAAGCCUGACGGAGCAACGCCGCGUGAGUGAUGAAGGUCUUCGGAUCGUAAAACUCUGUUAUUAGGGAAGAACAUAUGUGUAAGUAACUGUGCACAUCUUGACGGUACCUAAUCAGAAAGCCACGGCUAACUACGUG
rnacentral:rRNA from 1 species